AUCAUGUGGUCGCAGUCCAAGUGUUAUGCUUGGAGUGAGGAAAGUCCGGGCUUCGCAGAACAGGGUGCUGGCUAACUACCAGCGGAGGCGACUCUAGGGAAAGUGCAACAGAAAUAAACUGUCACGAGUUUCUCGUCCCCAAAAGGGGCUGAUGUCAAUAUAAGUUCAACGAAAGUUGAUAUCUGGACGAUGGUGGAAAGGCGGUUUAAGAGACCACCGCUUGAUUGGUGACAAUCAGGGCUAUGUAAACCCCACCCGAAGCAAGACUAAAAGUGCCAAUUUGUUGUUCGCAAGGCGCUUAAAAAUGUCGCUUGAGCCAUAUGGCAACAUAUGGCCUAGAUAGAUGACCACUUAAUACAGAACUCGGCUUAUAGAUUGCU
rnacentral:RNase_P_RNA from 1 species